UGCCAUAAUACACGCACAUGUGCUGCCUGUUGUCCUCGCGCACCGGCAGCGGCCUGCUGUUGUUCUCGUGUGGAGAGAGGGGGCUCCACGCGCCUCCUUGCGGCCGGCUGAUUGGUCGAGCGCUGAAUCUGGGCAGGACAGGAAACUGGACGCGAGGAACGCGCAGCAAUCUCCGUUCUCCGGGAGAGAGAAUGGGAGAGGAAACCGAAAUGUGUCAAUAGAAGACUAGGAGGAUUGAAUCGGGCAAAUGAAUAAUUUGCCUUUUUAGUACAUACACCGCGUUAUUCAUCACCAGGGACGUGGGAUAACCGCCUUUAACGUUCUUCUAAAUAAUUAUCGGCUGUUUUCAUUACAUAAAAGAAUUGCAGAGCUCUUCGCCGCUGGGCACAAGUUAACUUCAAUUUGGACAUUUUGAACCAAGUGAAAGAG